CCACCGGUCCAGACUCCUACGGGAGGCAGCAGUGGGGAAUAUUGCACAAUGGGCGCAAGCCUGAUGCAGCCAUGCCGCGUGUAUGAAGAAGGCCUUCGGGUUGUAAAGUACUUUCAGCGGGGAGGAAGGCGUUGGAGGUUAAUAACCUCAGCGAUUGACGUUACCCGCAGAAGGAAGCGCCGGCUAACUCCGUGCCAGCAGCCGCGGUAAUA
rnacentral:rRNA from 1 species